GCGAGGUCUGGCAAUGCGAGUAGUACGUGAUGCCGAACGUCACAUGAUCACAACUGAGCCAAUGGUUAGCAGUGAUUCCGUUAGUGAUAGUGAAAGUCAUCCUACACAACCCUCCUCUCCCAUCUGCCUCACACCAGCCAUGAAGAUUUUCAAAGGUCCUCAAAGGAAUGAAAAUAAAGAAAAUAAGAGGAGGAAGAAGACUUGUGAACGGGCCUUAUGGAAUCUCAACGGGAGCAUAUUCUGCCCUCUGCGUCUACUCAUUUACGCUACGAAUUAUGAGAUAAAACUAAACGUGCACUCAUGAGUGGUGAACAGAAUGGACGUUCUUGGAGAACAAAGAGACACAUGGUAGCAUGGCAAAACACAUUAGUGUUUCUCAAAGCACAAUUGACUGGGGAGUUUCAGGGCCUGACUCUCCUCCCACCGCAGAUCUCACUCCUCAUCAUUAUUCUCACUGACAGGGGGCCUUGCCCGAGUCCCCAGAGCCAGUGACAGCUCCCAGCAGCUGGAUUUCUCGGAGACAGUUAAGUGGCAUUUUUUUCCCAAUUACUCUUCUCAGACUUUAGAUGAGGAGAAAAAACGUUUUGUGAAAUGGUUAUGGUAAUGGCAAGAAUGAGUUUGUGGAUGUGGUUAAAUGCAAUUUUAGCAACGCCUUGAAAUGUACCAUAUGCUGAGAGCUUCUCUGGUACAGGCAGCUAUUAUCUUUAAGAAAUUGAUUUCUUGGUCUCAUGUUCUAUUAUUUCAAUAUAUUUUAUAGAUUUCUCUUUUAUUUAUUUCCUUUUUGCCAUAUUCUGGAAAUAACUGUUCCUUAUGAAUGCUAGCUUUUAAUUUUAAGAUUAAACUUAAACCUUCCUACCUAAAUAUUGCUGGGGGACUCCGUAAGAUGUAUUUGCAGUCUUAAGAAACCUAUCAGCUAAAAGAAGAUUAAAAGAUUUUUUUCUCCUAGAUGCUGAAAAAUUAAAAUUUGUUGGGUAUGAAAGUCACUGUCUCCUAAUAAACUUAUAUUAAGCUGAAUUUUUUUUUCA
rnacentral:lncRNA from 1 species